UCCAAUUAUGAAAUGCAAGAUAAGCACUUUUUUUUACGAUAAACAAGUACUAAUUCAUUAAUAAUAAUAAUCAUAUGAAGUGUCAAGCACUCCAUAUAAAAUCCAGGGCACCGCCCUACCAACAACCACCAGAAUAAUAUUCGGGCUUAGCCCUUACAACCAUCAUCAAAUUGAAAUAAACUGAACUUAACAGAACUGAAUAAAACUAGAACCACUUAAAAUCUUAAUUAGGAGAUAAUUAAAACUAAUAGAUUAGAGUUUGAAGGGGACAGAAGCCAUGCGCCAGUUGAGGGAAGAACACCACUUUAGUCAACAUCCAAGGGUUCUGGAGCCACCUCAGCUGCGAGAUCUUCCUCGCCACCAUCGACCUCUCCGUUUUCCUCCCCUGCAAUGCAAGAUAAGCACUUUCCUUUUAAUUCUCAUAAACUGUACGUAUAAAAACGCUUAUUAAGCCAACAGGUUGGGCAGAUAUCACAUUACAAUAUUAUAAUAUAAUUUGAUGCCCAAUAAACACAUUAUUUGUCAACUUUUUCUUUACAAUUCACACUUGUCAAUUGCAAUAUAGAAAAAGUCAGUGGUUACGGAACUGGAUUCCUGUAUCGACCUUCCUUUUGGUCGUAUUAUAUUUAGGUACAUAAACAUAAUUAACAUAACACUGCAGUCUAUUAGUCUAUUAAUAUUAUAAUCUUGUUCCCUAAAAAAAAUUUGUAUAAUCUUGUUGUUUAUAAUUUUAUACUAGGGAAAUUACCUUGUAUACUGUUUUUUCAAUCUUAUUUUCAAAAAUACUACCUUCUCUAAAAUCUUUCAAAUAUACUAUCUUUUUGAAAAUAUUUUCCAAAAAUACGGUGGUUGCAUAUGCAACCAUAUAUGCAACUACAAUUCCUAAUUUCAAGUUCCAGUUUUCAAAUGUCAUUUUCGACCUCAUCUUAUAUAUAUAUAUAUAUAUAUGAGCAAAGUUCCUUGUAGACCACAAAAGUACUGUAGUAUUGAAGACCAACAUCUUAGCCAUCCAUUUUAUUUAAUCUAAUGGUCACCAUUAUCCCUAUUUUUUUUAAUUUUUUUAAAUCUGUAUACAUACCAACUCUCACCUAUACGGUGUAAUACAUGAUAGUUACUACUUUCAUGUGGCAGUUACAAGCACACAAUUGUAAAUCAGGGCAUGUUUUUUUUUUUUUUUUUGUCAGGAUCUACAUACUCGUAGAUUUAUGCAGUUUGUGAAAUGUUCAGCACUUUCAUACACAUCAUCCCAAAGUUGUUUCUAUUGUGUUCUUCAGCAAUUAUCGUUCAUCUCCCCCGCUUGCAGCACUAAGCACCAAACAAUAAACGUGCUAUACGGUGGUUAAUUUUAUUGGUCCAAACAAACUUAACAUGAUUUAUGUGGAAGAAUCGUUAGGUUGGUCAUGAGCAAAAGGGAUGGGUAGAGUUCUCCAACUUGCCUCUAAAUAUGGUAGUUGAUGGUGAAAAAAAAAAGAGACCGUUUGUCCCCGAAUCCGGUGAAUAAAAUGAUCGUGCUGCACUAAUCUUACUCUUUAAAGGAUAAUGAUUGUUCUGUAACCGCCGGUUCUUUCCGAUUGCGUUACAAGGUUUGCUGUCGAUUUCUACAUGUAUGUUGCUACAUACACGCUCCAAAAGAUACGUAUACAUAACAAUAUAAAAUUUUAAAAAAUAACUAUAUUAGUCAUUAAUAAAUCUCAACCAUUUAUUAAUUUUAUAAUCCAACGGUGGAUUCUUCGGUCUACAAGGACUAUAUUGCACUAUACUGAAC
rnacentral:lncRNA from 1 species